rnacentral:rRNA from 1 species
CCUACGGGAGGCAGCAGUAGGGAAUCUUUCACAAUGGGCGAAAGCCUGAUGGAGCAACGCCGCGUGCAGGAUGAAGGCCUUCGGGUUGUAAACUGCUUUUAUAAGCGAGAAAUAUGAUGGUAACUUAUGAAUAAGGAUCGGCUAACUACGUGCCAGCAGCCGCGGUCAUACGUAGGAUCCGAGCAUUAUCCGGAGUGACUGGGUGUAAAGAGUUGCGUAGGUGGAAUAAUAAGUAGCUAGUUAAAUCUGGUGGCUCAACCAUUCAGACUAUUAGCUAAACUGUUAAGCUCGAGACCGUUAGGGGUAACUGGAAUUUCUAGUGUAGGAGUGAAAUCCGUAGAUAUUAGAAGGAACACCGAUAGCGUAGGCAGGUUGCUGGGACGGUUCUGACACUAAGGCACGAAAGCGUAGGGAGCAAACGGGAUUAGAUACCCUUGUAGUC